AUGAUCACAAGGGUUUAUGCAGUAAGAACAGGCAAGCCUUUUUGGGUUGUAUCCGAAGACAUGGAAAGGGAUGUUUUUAUGUCAGCAGACGAAGCCAAAGCUUAUGGACUUGUCGAUAUUGUAGGGGAUGAAAUGAUUGACAAGCACUGCGAUACUGAUCCAGUGUGGUUUCCAGAAAUUUUUAAGGAUUGGUAG
rnacentral:rRNA from 1 species